rnacentral:rRNA from 1 species
AGAGUUUGAUCCGUGGCUCGAGGACGAACGCUGGCGCGCGCCUAACACAUGCAAGUCGAACGGAGUUGUGUUGAAAGCUUGCUGGAAAUACAACUUAGUGGCGGACGGGUGAGUAACGCGUGAGUAACCUGCCUUUUCAGAGGGGAAUAACAUUCUGAAAAGGAUGCUAAUACCGCAUAAUGUCACAGUAUCGCAUGGUACAGUGACCAAAGGAGCAAUCCGCUGAAAGAUGGACUCGCGUCCGAUUAGCUAGUUGGCGGGAUAAAGGCCCACCAAGGCGACGAUCGGUAGCCGGACUGAGAGGUUGAUCGGCCACAUUGGGACUGAGACACGGCCCAGACUCCUACGGGAGGCAGCAGUGGGGAUAUUGCACAAUGGGGGAAACCCUGAUGCAGCAACGCCGCGUGAAGGAAGAAGGUCUUCGGAUUGUAAACUUCUGUCCUCAGGGAAGAUAAUGACGGUACCUGAGGAGGAAGCUCCGGCUAACUACGUGCCAGCAGCCGCGGUAA